rnacentral:rRNA from 1 species
GAUGAACGCUAGCGGCAGGCUUAACACAUGCAAGUCGAGGGGUAGGUUACUUCGGUAACUGAGACCGGCGCACGGGUGCGUAACGCGUAUACAAUCUACCUUUACAGAGGGAUAGCCCAGAGAAAUUUGGAUUAAUACCUCAUAGUAUUUUCGGAUCGCAUGAUUUGAUUAUUAAAGUUCCAACGGUAAAAGAUGAGUAUGCGUCCCAUUAGCUAGAUGGUAAGGUAACGGCUUACCAUGGCAACGAUGGGUAGGGGUCCUGAGAGGGAGAUCCCCCACACUGGUACUGAGACACGGACCAGACUCCUACGGGAGGCAGCAGUGAGGAAUAUUGGACAAUGGGCGGCAAGCCUCGAUCCACG